rnacentral:rRNA from 1 species
CGCCAGACUCCUACGGGAGGCAGCAGUGGGGGAUAUUGCACAAUGGGGGAAACCCUGAUGCAGCGACGCCGCGUGUGGGAAGACGGUCCUCUGGAUUGUAAACCACUGUCCCCAGGGACGAAGAUGACGGUACCUGGGGAGGAAGCUCCGACUAACUACGUGCCAGCAGCCGCGGUAAUACGUAGGGAGCAAGCGUUAUCCGGAUUUAUUGGGUGUAAAGGGUGCGUAGACGGAGAAGCAAGUUAGUUGUGAAAUCCCUCGGCUUAACUGAGGAACUGCAACUAAAACUACUUCCCUUGAGUACUGGAGAGGAAAGUGGAAUUCCUAGUGUAGCGGUGAAAUGCGUAGAUAUUAGGAGGAACACCAGUGGCGAAGGCGACUUUCUGGACAGUAACUGACGUUGAGGCACGAAAGUGUGGGGAGCAAACAGGAUUAGAUACCCGGGUAU